rnacentral:misc_RNA from 1 species
AAGUCGUAACAAGGUUUCCGUAGGUGAACCUGCGGAAGGAUCAUUAGAGAUGCGGCGUGAGCCGUUCAAAACCACGCACACUGUGAACCGUCGGCCCCGGCCUUCAAACUCCGUGUACUGAACGUCAUUGAUGGUAACAUAACAAAACUUUCAACAACGGAUCUCUUGGCUCUC